AUACACACACCGACACACACACACACGCACACACACACACCGACACAUACACACACCGACACACACACACACGCACACACACACCGACACAUACACACACCACACACACACACACACACGCACCGACACACACACGCACCGACACACACACGCACCGACACACACACACACCGACACACACACGCACACCGACGCACACCGACACACACACACACACACACACACACACACCCUCUCUGAGCUGACAUUACCACUGAUUGUUUGUUUAUGUAAACCAAGGGUCAUAGGUCAACUUGACGACCCCGGGAUGUUUAUGUAAACGAAGGGUCAUAGGUCAACUUGACGACCCCGGGAUGUUUAUGUAAACGAAGGGUCAUAGGUCAACUUGACGACCCCGGGAUGUUUAUGUAAACCAAGGGUCAUAGGUCAACUUGACGACCCCGGGAUGUUUAUGUAAACGAAGGGUCAUAGGUCAACUUGACGACCCCGGGAUGUUUAUGUAAACGAAGGGUCAUAGGUCAACUUGACGACCCCGGGAUGUUUAUGUAAACGAAGGGUCAUAGGUCAACUUGACGACCCCGGGAUGCACCACAUUCCACAUCAGUGUGUGUUUUUUUAUUUAAAUGUAGUAAUAAUAACAACAGGUGUUUUGUCUCUGAAACGACUUCGGCUCUACAACACUAAGUUACCAUUGAAGGAUGUGCUGUGAAGCCAAUGUGACCAGAUGGCACACUAUUCCCUAUAUAGUGCACUACUUUAGACCAGAGUCCUAUGGGACACUAUUCCCUAUAUAGUGCACUACUUUAGACCAGAGUCCUAUAGCGGCUAUAUCCUCUGUGAUGUGUCCCUAUGGGCCCAUGGUCAGAAAUAGUUCACUGUCAAGGGACUAGGGUGCUAUUUGGGAUGGUUCCUAUGUCAUUAGAUGGAGGAUGUACCUAUGAUGUGUCUAAUUCAGCUGCAGGAGAAAUAAAGAAUCAAUUGACACUA